GGGCGGCCCCCCCCAGAUGGGUCUGCAUGUGGCCGGCCAGCUGGGCAGGGGUCUUGCAGUGCACGCUGCACAGCUUGCACAGGAUGCGGUCAGCCCGCGGGGCCUGGAGCCCAUGGUCCUUCACCGCGUGGAUGCGCAGGGUUCUCUACACGCCACGAGCUCUUGGCUGCAGCACCCUUGACCCAAAUCAGUGAAAAAACCAACAGCUCUGUGCCCACCCAACCCCACUUUAUCCCUGCCCUCCUAGCAUCCCUUAGCAUGUACCUUUGUUGCAGAGCUCACAGACAUGGUGAGGGCCCUGGCUGUGCACCUUCAUGUGGUCCGAAAUAUAAGCUGAGCUCAGCAUCUUGCCACACACA